AACGAACGCUGGCGGCAUGCCUAACACAUGCAAGUCGAACGAGACCUUCGGGUCUAGUGGCGCACGGGUGCGUAACGCGUGGGAACCUGCCCUUAGGUUCGGAAUAACUCCCCGAAAGGGGUGCUAAUACCGGAUAAUGUCUUCGGACCAAAGAUUUAUCGCCUUUGGAUGGGUCCGCGUUGGAUUAGCUAGUUGGUAGGGUAAAAGCCUACCAAGGCGACGAUCCAUAGCUGGUCUGAGAGGAUGAUCAGCCACACUGGGACUGAGACACGGCCCAGACUCCUACGGGAGGCAGCAGUGGGGAAUAUUGGACAAUGGGCGAAAGACUGAUACAGAAAUGCCGCGUGAGUGAUGAAGGCCUUAGGGUUGUAAAGCUCUUUUACCCGGGAUGAUAAUGACAGUACCGGGAGAAUAAGCUCCGGCUAACUCCGUG
rnacentral:rRNA from 1 species